UUUGUGUCUUGGGUGUGGCUUGAGUCCUGGGGAGCGGGGAAUCAAAAGAAAAAGAAUUCAGAAAAAAAAAAUCAUGGUUUUUGACGUCAUCCGGGCGAAGCCGGGCUGGCUGCUGCUUGCUUCCGCCCGGAGAGGGAGGGGCUUGUGGGAGCGGCGUGUCCUGCUGGCUCGCGGAAGUUCUACCUGACGUCCUUCGUCUGGAGCGGCGCUUCCGCGGCUGAGGUGACGCUGUGUCGUCCUGGGACCAAAUGAAGUUUCUGUACUCCACGGAGGAGUAGCGCAGAGUUUCAUCCUCCAUCGCGCACAGGACCGCCCAAGAAGCCUCGUCCAAAAUGUCCAACUCGGCCAACUUAGGUGCGGAAAAGCGGGUCUGCUGACGACCUACUGUCAGGACUUGGUCUUGGUUGUUUGCUUUUCCGGGAUGCAACGGAAAGUUGGCACGGGCGAGACGGGAACCAAGGUACAUGAUUUAUUUAUUAAAAAAAAGAUCAAACAAAAAGCGCGCACAAUGGCGGAGAAUAAGCUAUGAAACCUAAAGACUAUAGCAAAAAAGUACAAAUGAAAAGCACGCACAGUGGCGGAAACUAUGAACAAUUAAACAAAACAUUAACUGUGGCUUGAGAAACAAAAACUUACUUGGCAUGGAACCGGCAUGAAAAAGGAGCAGCAAGGAUCAUAAGGGUGUGCAGAAGCAUAUAUGGGGUGCGAGGUCGUCAGGCCGAACAACAGAAAAUGAAUUAACUUAAAUACUUAUGGACAUGAUUAACAACAGGUGCGUGACUCAAAACAGGUGCGUGACAUGACAGGUGAAACUAAUGGGUAACUAUGGUGACAAAACAAAACUGCACAAAAAGUCCAAAAAUAAAGCCUGAUCACACAGACAUGACAAUGAGAAACCCAUUGAGAUCAAGAUCUCUUUCACAAGGGUGACCUGGCCAAGAGGUCAACAGCACAUGUCACAGAGCAGUUUCAAAAAAAAAUAAUACGUUAAGACAUACAUUUUAAAAUACAUAAGAGAACUGUAAAACAAAAAAGAUUUACACCUUUUAAAAACACAGGCACUGUGCAAACGUCUCUCUAAGGCUCCAAAUGGAAGUAGUUCUGUAAGUUUCAGUUUCGUCUGCAAUGCAUUCCAUGCCAUAGGAGCAGCAAUGCCAAAAGCUCUUUUGCCAAAUUCCGUCCGUUAAUGAGGAACAGUUAAAAUAUACAAAUUGUUAGAACGUAAUGCAUAAGAGCUGCUUUUUCUUUGUAACAAGAGUACACAAGUAUGGAGGUAUUAAACCUAAAAGAGCCUUAUAAAUGAUAGUCAGCCAAUGUGUGUAUCUGCGUGCACUCAAUGAAGAUAAGUCUGACUUCAUAUACAGUUGACAACACAAGCACACAAGUGCCUCAAACGGCUUUACAAACUCACAACAACAUCUUCUGAUCUAAACCCACAUCAGGCCAAGAACAAAUGUCAAGCUCCAGACAGGGAAAAAAGAAGAAACCUUGAGAAGGGACCACAGAUGUAGGGAUCCCCCUUCCGGAGUGACCGGCUGCAAUGGAUGUUGAGUAUAGUAAUUAAAUACUCCGACCACAGAGCUUUCCUCCAGAAGGUCUUAUCUUUGUCCAUGUGAUGUCAGAUGAAACAAAAAUGUAGCUGUUUGGCCACAAUACCCAGCAAUAUGUUUGGAGGAAAAAAGGUGAGGCCUUUAAUCCCAGGAACACCAGCCCUACCGUCAAGCAUGGUGGUGGUAGUAUUAUGCUCUGGGCCUGUUUUGCUGCCAAUGGAACUGGUGCUUUACAGAGAGUAAAUAAGACAAUGAAAAAGGAGGAUUACCUACAAAUUAUUCAGGACAACCUAAAAUCAUCAGCCCGGAGGUUGGGACUUGGGCGCAGUUGGGUGUUCCAACAGGACAAUGACCCCAAACACACGUCAAAAGUGGUAAAGGAAUGGCUAAAUCAGGCGAGAAUUAAUGUUUUAGAAUGGCCUUCCCAAAGUCCUGACUUAAACGUGUGGACAAUGCUAAAGAAACAAGUCCAUGUCAGAAAACCAACACAUUUGGCUGAACUGCACCAAUUUUGUCAAGAGGAGUGGUCAAAAAUUCAACUAGAAGAUUGUGGAUGGCUACCAAAAGCGCCUUAUUGCAGUGAAACUUGCCAAGGGACAUGUAACCAAACAUUAACAUUACUGUAUGUAUACUUUUGACCCAGCAGAUUUGGUCACAUUUUCAGUAGACACAUAAUAAAUUCAUAAAAGAACCAAACUUCAUGAAUGUUUUUUGUGAUCAACAAGUAUGUGCUCCAAUCACUCUAUCACAAAAAAAUAAGAGUUGUAGAAAUGAUUGGAAAUUCAAGACUGCCAUGGCAUUAUUUUCUUUACAAGUGUAUGUAAACUUUUGACCACGACUGUAUAUUAGUACAACAUCAUCUCUUCUGAGUGUAAUUCCUUAACAACACAGAAAAAGGGAAAUAAAUACAAACAAGAGUCUGUAUUAGCUGUAGCUGAGGUGUUGAAGUGGCUCGUCUUAUAAUGGAAACAUGUUUGGAUGAACCCAGAUGCAAUACAGUAUCUUUUAAGCAAUCCUGUUUCUGGUGAAAUGUCUUAGAUUGAAGUCUUUAGAAACAACACCACAAUCACAACAGCUAGUUUCAUAAUAUUUGCCUUGGUGGGCCUUUUUUUUGUCUUUCAAAUAUCCAUCUUUAUGAUGGAAACUAGAAUCCCGCUAACUUCACAGCUCAUAUUGUGCUGUCUGUCUGCGUCAUCUGAGGCACUCACAUGGUCCGGCUGUGGUUACCAAACUGGGAUCUCUGAAUAUCCCUCUCCGCAAAUUAGGGCCUGUGGUCAUCGGCAAUCUGAAACACGGUGAUAAAAAUAAAUGACAGUGACAUAGGAAUAAAAAGCAGACGCCCACGAGCAGGAAACAACACAUGUUGAAGUUCUCUGAGGAGUGAUGACAUCAUCUGUGACAGAUUCUCCAAUUGUCUCACCUAACACUGAAAAUGGCCACAAAACACCUUUUGUCUCUGACUAGCAUGAGUCACAAUGAUCUCAAUUGAGGCAACGUAGUGUUUGAAGCCGUAAGGACACUGAAUCAUUUCAGUGACACAAACCAUGUGACUUGCAUGCCAAGCUCCAUUAAACAUUUUCUCUGUGUCAGAUUCUGAAUGAUGAUCGUACGGUUUGGAUCACAUCAUCACACAGUUAUUUAAUUAGUGAGUAGAGUCCUGGUAUUUUCAGUAGACCAAUGAAGGAUAUGUUUGACUAUAAGGUUUGUUUGUUUGUCUGUUAUAACUCCAUACGAUGUAAGAAAAUGUGCGUCAUAGUCACAAGUCAACAAGGAAUGACUCCAAACAAGUCCUUUUCUUACUGUAAUUAAACCUCAUGAAGCCCUAAUUAAAUAAACACAGGUCUCAUUAAGUUGUUCAUUAAGUAAUUUCAUCCUUUUAUUCCUUCAUUAAGUCUCUUUUCAUCUCUCCUCUUAGGGACCGUGGGAGUGCUGAGGUGUAAGGGAUCAUGACCUUAAUUUUCUCCAAGACAGACGUUUAAUUAACACAAGAGGAAUCUUCGCCGGCUACAGACCGACAAUUGGAAUGUUCCAGGGAAUUAAGACAUGUGAGCAGGAGGGCAUGAGAAGAGAAGCAAUAAUAGCAGACGGGGUGGAGGCUGGCCGACAGGAGAUACCACAAUGUCCAAAUAAGCAGAAACGCACCAGAUCUUUGGAGGAUGUUAAGCUGACACAUUAUGGCUCAACCCUUUCAUUUUCUACCUGAGACAUUCACGGUGCAGGAAGGAACAAUGCCAUAACUGCAGUACUUACUGUGACACUAUGUCGGACAACAGGAAGUCAUCUUUUGUGACAUUAUCAAAGGCUAAAAACUGUAAAAAAAUAAAUAAAAAUACCAUCCUGUAUACUGUUAUUGUUCAGAAAAAAUGGUUUAAAUGGACAGCAACAAUAUGCAAUGAACUGUAUUUGUUAUACAUAUAUUACCUGUUUGUAUUUUUUUUUAUACCUACAUACUGUUUAUUCGUAUAUACUGCAAAUGUUACUGCUUCCUUCUUGUAAAGAUGCUGAAAAAAGGGAAUUCUGCUGACAUGGAAUCCUUAAAGUCUUAAAGCAAUCCUGAUAUACAAUUUCCAUAAAACCAGCUAAAAAAGCACUUUUUUGGAAGAUCCUUUCCCAGGGGGAUUUUAAACCAUAUGGGACUUAAGGUAUGUUGUCAGUAUAAAGUACUUAUUUUCAGGGAAGCUUCAUUUACACAGCAUAUGAUUUGUGACUUUGGACCAAACUUUUAGAAAAGACAGGGUAAUUCUGUACUAUCGCUUUCAUAAUUUAUGACAGAGUCUUGCGGGCAAGCCUGUUCGCAUCGUAUAUCUAGAGAAUUUUUUUUUUUCUUGACGUACAGAAUUAUAUGCUAUAUUUUACAUCAUGUCCUUAAUAAAACGGUGUUUGUCAAGCUGCUGAUACAGUAAAGUCUUCUGAAACCAAAUGCCCCCUCCAAUUAAGGAUGUCAACUGUACAUUUUCAACCGGCAAAUCAUAGCCUUCAAAUCAUGCAAUCAAUCUGCCAAAACCAUUCAGAAUCCUGGCCAAUAACAUCUGGACAGGAGUUAUAUUGAAUGAUGCUGACAAUCAAAGAAAUAAACAA